AUACGGAGGGUGCAAGCGUUGUUCGGAAUCACUGGGCGUAAAGGGCGCGCAGGCGGUUUGGUAAGUCAGAUGUGAAAGCCCACGGCUCAACCGUGGAAGUGCAUUUGAAACUGUCAGACUUGAGUACUAGCGGGGAAAGUGGAAUUCCCGGUGUAGAGGUGAAAUUCGUAGAUAUCGGGAGGAAUCCCGGUGGCGAAGGCGAAUUUCUGGCUAGAUACUGACGCUGAGGCGCGAAAGCGUGGGGAGCAAACCGGAUUAGAAACCCCAGUAGUCC
rnacentral:rRNA from 1 species